UGCAUAUCAAUUUAAGGGAGGAAAAGAAACCAACCGGGAUUGCCUUAGUAACGGCGAGUGAAGCGGCAAAAGCUCAAAUUUGAAAUCUAGUACCUUUGGUGCUCGAGUUGUAAUUUGUAGAGGGAUACUUUGGGGCCGUCUCUUAUCUAUGUUCCUUGGAACAGGACGUCAUAGAGGGUGAGAAUCCCGUAUGAUGAGAGUCGCGGUUCUAUGUAAAGUUCCUUCGAAGAGUCGAGUUGUUUGGGAAUGCAGCUCUAAGUGGGUGGUAAAUUCCAUCUAAAGCUAAAUAUUGGCGAGAGACCGAUAGCGAACAAGUACAGUGAUGGAAAGAUGAAAAGAACUUUGAAAAGAGAGUGAAAAAGUACGUGAAAUUGUUGAAAGGGAAGGGCAUUUGAUCAGACAUGGUGUUUUGCGCCCUCUGCUCCUUGUGGGUGGGGGACUCUCGCAGCUCACUGGGCCAGCAUCAGUUUUGGCGGUAGGAUAAAUCCAUAGGAAUGUAGCUUGCCUCGGUAAGUGUUAUAGCCUGUGGGAAUACUGCCAGCCGGGACUGAGGACUGCGACAUUCGUCAAGGAUGCUGGCAUAAUGGUUAUAUGCCGCCCGUCUG
rnacentral:rRNA from 1 species